GGUGGGGUGGCAGAGCGGCCAUGCGUUCGCCUGCAGAGCGAAUAUAUAAGGGUUCGAAUCCCUUCCCCACCU
rnacentral:tRNA from 5 species